ACCUAGCUGACCGAUCUCUGCAUCGGCCAUUCAAGGUCGAGCUAGCUAGCAAUGGCGCGGUUCAACGGAGCCACUGUUUUCCUCAUCAUCAUCGCCACCGUGUCCGUCUACAGCUGCGCCAUCAUCGCCGGCGCCGCACUCGGCCGAACACUGGACAGCUCCGCGACGACUAAGCAGACGCCGUCGGACAGGACCCUCCGCGUCAGCGUCAGCUUCAGAGGCCUCGCCAAGGACUUCGCAAAGGAGCUCUGGGGUGGUAAUCACAGGGAAGGACGGUCAGGCAGAGCUCUCGCCGGUGCGGGUGACGGAACUGCGGUACUGUCAUCAUCCCCCGCGAGCGUCUCGCUCUCACCACGAGCCAACAGGGCGGCCGCGGCGGAUCGCGAGUCAGCGCUGCAGCCCAUGCCAGUUGCCAACUACACGCAAGUGAACAGCAGGGUCAGGGAUGACGUCCACACAAGAGCAGCAGCGAGACCGUGGUCGAGGCACAGCAACUUCUCCGACGAGAUCACUGACGAGAAAAGGCCGGGAGGAAGAGGAGUGAUCAAGGUCGGGCCGUGGGGAGGAUCCGGCGGGGCACCUUUCUACAUGCGCGGCGGCCGCGGCGUGAGCGCCCCUCGCGUGCGCAGUGUCACCCUGCAGUACACCGACAACGCCAUCCAUUCCUUCUACCAAAGCUCAGACGAGCCCGUGGUGAAGCUGACGCUGGAACGAGCAGAAGGCGGUGGCCAAAGUAGAGCUCGUUUAACGAUUGAUGAGUUCGUGAUGUACGAAAAGAGAAUGCCUUAGAAAGACCGGUCAUACGAAAGAUCACUUAUUACUAUUGAAAUAUUAUGGUGACGAUGUUUAGCAGUCAUAAAAGGGAGAGAAAACGAAGGUUAAAAAUACUGCAAAGGAAUAGGACUGAAGGCUACCAUAGAACCUACAGGGUCUAGGAACACAGGAAUAAGAGAAAGUAGACUGUUCGGAGCACAGCAGCCUUAAGGGUUUUUAAAUUGGCCACAAGGCAGCUUUGUCUCUAUCUCUCACCCCAUCACGUCACACAUCAGCUCAUUUUAAUUAGCUCUGCAUGCUGACUGCCACGAUCAGAGCACCUCGUCUCGGUCUUCCGCGAAAAACAUGAGCUCCGGGCAGAUUUUUCAAUUCCUGUGGAAUCGGCAUCGAAAGGACAGGUUUCCUUUGGAUCACUGUAGGUCAUUCCUGCGUUUCGAACACCACAAAGGAAAAUAAACCUUCAUGAACAGUAUUCCUUCAUGAUUCCUGCAAAAAUCCUAUGAACCGAACGGAGCCUGAAUAUGGUCCAGUUAGUGGCGUAUUAUUCCUUGCAUUCAACACGUGUGUAUAACACCUCGACGAUGUGUUAUUCUAUAUUGAAGUUUUAAUGAACCUGAACUCUUCUGAUUAUUUUGUGUAAGCAUGAACUCUUGGCGUGCAGGUGUAAGUUGAUUUUUUUUUUCAAAAAAAAGGUGCAAGUCCUAUCAGGCACAUGGACAACUAACAUCAUGCUUCCUCUGUUUAGACAUUACUCUACCACGUAAUUGGUCUUUGGUUCUCUAGGAGAUCGUGGUCCAUAUUUGAUUAACUUACAAAAAUAUAUGCAUUAACAUGAAGCUUUGCUGGAGUAUUUGUGCAAAGGGUAAGUUAUGCGAAGGGUAAACAAUGCUUUAUUUGUUCUAUCUAAUCUAAAUUUUAAAAGCUUUUUGUAAGAAAAAUAUGGCCAGGCAUUUACCAACAGGCAAGAUCUAGCAGCUUACCUUAUUUUUAUUCCGGAUGUUUAGUCAUGCAUCCGAAUUUCCGGCAUGAUAGCUCACUUCUUUCAUGUGUAAAUAAUUCCCUCUCCAAGGGAUUCCUUAAUUUAUUUCUAUCCUAGCAGUUCGUACAUAUCUAUAUUUUGUGUGGAGCGUUUUCUAUUUCAUUUUCUUUUACUUUGUUUUGAUAUAUGGAUUCUGACUGUAGUAAUUCAGUUUUUCCACCAAUUGUUGGAUGCUUAAAUUACCUUCAAGAAGUGUUUUUUCCCGCUCCCACAUAGCAUGCAGCAGUUAUAUGCAUCAUUUGACUGGCUGUGUCAUACAGUUAAAAGCUUAGUAUUUUUGCUCAUACAAGGAACAGAUUCAGUUUAGUUAAUUUAGCUCUAUUGGCUGUAUCAGUAAAACGUGGAAGUGUGCAAUUUUGCUGUACAUACUCCCCUAUUUGUAUCGGUUCAGUUAAUUCAACUCUAAUUAUGUUAGUUGUAAAACAUGGAAGAGUUGUUCGCUGGGGUUCUUUUCCCCCCUCUCCUUCUUUAAUGAAUGAUAUGCAUACUCCGUAUUCUAGAAAACAAAAUACAUAUCCCCUAUAUAUGCCCUUCUUAUCCUUUCUUAAAAAUAACUUGAUACGUACAAGGGAAUAAUUACUUCCUGUAGAUCUCCUUCCAAGUUUAUUUACUUGAUCCUUUUUCCUUUCACUUCCCUUGACCUAUUUUUUGGUGCACUGACAUGGUGUCUUCAGUGGAAAAUUCUGAUGCUUCUAUGCUUUCAUGACUGAAUAUUUUAAAUAUUAUUAAACAUAUGUUAUUUUCUCAUGGAAAAUCAAGUUAUAAGUAGCUUAAAUGCUUAUUGCUGUUGGCAUGAGAUCUAUGGGUUCUCUCUUAGUAAUCAAGCACGUCAACUUCUGCUUUUCAGAGAAGGUUCCAUGUUGCCAUGUUCUUUCUGAAGUUAAAUUGGCAUUACAAAUUUUGUGAUCAAUAGCUUUCAGAAGAAAAAGGUUGCUCAAGCUACUCUUCAUCAAGUUUGCACAUAUCACGGUAUAGUCAUCAACGACCACAAUCAUGAUGCGCUCAAGACAAUGUUCAGGAGUUACUCAACAACACAAUAGUGGAGCGGAACCGAUCACUACUUAGUGAUUUGGAAAGCAGAGUACUAUUACUUUACAGAGGGAGUACAUUGUGGUACUUUGAUUUUUCUUUGCAAUAUUUAUUACAUAGAGAUAAUCUAGAGCAUUCUGGAGGGGAACUAAUCGGUAUGGAAUACUGAUGCAUAUGCAUUUUCUGGUGCAACUUGCUUCUAGGAUGCGGCAACCAUUUGAGAAAAUUUUAUACUUCCUCUGUCCUUAAUUAUUUGUUAGAUAAAUGGAUGUGAUAUGAUCAAGGAUCCUCAAAAAGAUUUAUCUCCCAUUUCAAGAUAAUUUGCCAAACCGUCGAGAGCCAGGACGUGCAUCCAGUAGCAACUUCAACAUUGUCUACGCAUCAAACAAACCACCUGAACAAGAGCAAAAGAACCAGCUU